rfam:Setaria italica strain Yugu1 chromosome I, whole genome shotgun sequence.
UGCUGUGAUGAGUUCUUGCUUAUUUCUGACACCUCUUGUAUGAGAAGGGAUCAGUCCCUUCCUUGAGCAGAUUAGCAACUCUCUGAGCU